UACGUAGGGGGCGAGCGUUGUCCGGAUUUAUUGGGCGUAAAGAGCUCGUAGGCGGCCAGGUAGGUCUGCUGUGAAAACUCGAGGCUCAACCUCGAGACGUCGGCGGAAACCAUCUGGCUAGAGUCCGGAAGAGGAGAGUGGAAUUCCUGGUGUAGCGGUGAAAUGCGCAGAUAUCAGGAAGAACACCCGUGGCGAAGGCGGCUCUCUGGGACGGUACUGACGCUGAGACGCGAAAGCGUGGGGAGCGAACAGG
rnacentral:rRNA from 1 species